rnacentral:lncRNA from 1 species
UUUUCAGCAGGCUGUCUAGAAAACCAAAGAAUUUUUUUUCCUGGGGUAUCUAAUAGUCUCCCAUUGGAAAAGUAAAAUUGCAUAUCUUUUUCUACAGCUUGAUACUGCUUUUAAUACUCACCACAGUCGUUUCUGUUUGUGCGGUUUGAGAUGAGAUGGAAGGGUCCCUCUGGUCUCUCUUCCUCGACGAGCCUUCCAGUUAUGCCGUCCAGCCCUCUUUGCUUUCUCUAUUUGGACUUUUUAACGUUCUUAACUGGUUAUGUGUUUGCAGUAUAAACUCUGUUUAGAAAUAACUUUGUGUGUGUGUUAAGUAACCGCUCGGGGAGGCGGGAGGGAGGCAAACAACCCCGAUCUUCCCCUGCCGGCGCGGCUCUUAGGAGCAGAGGAAUUGCUCUGCGAACGCGGUUCCUUCCCCAGUGCAAGCUGCCCUCCCCAAACCCUUUACAGCCCUUCCAGGCUGCAGGACCCGGAGCAGGGAGCGUGUUUAUCGGGUUACCUCGAAGCAACGUGUGAACAGGGUCUACGCGGGUCUGCGCCUCUCGGCCAGCGUGCGUGCCGCUGGUAUCGAGCCAGAAACUGCUGCUUCAGCUGCUAAUCGUGGGACAGAGCGACUUCAGGGAGCGAAAUUCCGUGCCUUGGCUGCCGCCGCCGCUCUCGGUGGGAAAAGCCGCGUUCGCCGGGGUUGCCUCGAACCUCACGAUUCGACCCGAGUUGCUAGAUUUUGGCACGCCGGAGCCCUGCUCAAAGAGGUUUCUUGCGCCCCGCCAUCACCCACGUCUCCGCCAAGGAGGAGCGACUCGGCCGUCCCUGCUCAGAGGAGCCGCUGACGCGCGCGAGGCCCAGAAGAAGUCGCAGGCUGUCUCGGGAGCCGGCUAAUUCCGCGAUUCGGGAGCCCGCGAGAGGCAGGAUACAGGAAUUCACCCCGCGCUGCCCUGACGCGGUGAGGAGACCGGAGCGAGGUGAACGGAGCAGCGGGGUUCAGCCGGGCUCCGAAGCGAAGCCUCCGGGGUCGCAACAGCCGAAUAACGCGUCUUUUGUUCCGAUCGCAUAAACCAGCUUCUGUGCUCUUAAAAGACGCCGGGAAGCAGGAACUCUCCCAGAACGCUCUCCUAAUGUUGUCUACAGCAAAGAGGAUUAAUGCCACCGAAGGAAAAAAAUGUGCUUAUUAUUUUCAACUGUAAGGGAUAUAAAAGCUCUCUCCUUCGGCAGCGAGGUUAUGAUAUAUCCGGCAGUGCUUAAAACGGGUAGAAGCCGAUGGUUUGGGAUGUAUUUCGAAACCUCGUUAAAAUGUAACAGAUCAGGUAAACGUAAUGUGAAAUUAGAACAAUCUUUGUAGAAUCCAGAGUGUAUCCGUAAUGAAAAUAAUGCCUCGCAGCGAUGUUUAAUAAAAGCUGC